GGCGAAAGGAGGGGAGCUACGAUCACGGACGACCGUGAUUGCGACGGUCUAAUGCUUGGCGAACAAAUUGAAAAAUAUUUGCCGCUCAUUAAGCCUUGGUCCCACCACGGGAGUUACCGGACCUGUAACCUGUGUAAACGUUUGUAACGUUCUUGUGAUACCAAAUAAACUGCUAAUCCACCGAAAAGGAUUAACAUAAGUCCGAUUACAUUAAUUAAUAUUGCUUCGUCUACAAGAUUUUGAUAAUUAUU